rnacentral:rRNA from 1 species
GACGAACGCUGGCGGCGUGCUUAACACAUGCAAGUCGAACGGAAAGGCCCUGCUUUUGUGGGGUGCUCGAGUGGCGAACGGGUGAGUAACACGUGAGUAACCUGCCCUUGACUUUGGGAUAACUUCAGGAAACUGGGGCUAAUACCGGAUAGGAGCUCCUGCUGCAUGGUGGGGGUUGGAAAGUUUCGGCGGUUGGGGAUGGACUCGCGGCUUAUCAGCUUGUUGGUGGGGUAGUGGCUUACCAAGGCUUUGACGGGUAGCCGGCCUGAGAGGGUGACCGGCCACAUUGGGACUGAGAUACGGCCCAGACUCCUACGGGAGGCAGCAGUGGGGAAUAUUGCACAAUGGGCGGAAGCCUGAUGCAGCAACGCCGCGUGCGGGAUGACGGCCUUCGGGUUGUAAACCGCUUUCGCCUGUGACGAGGCGUGAGUGACGGUAAUGGGUAAAGAAGCACCGGCUAACUACGUGCCAGCAGCCGCGGUGAUACGUAGGGUGCGAGCGUUGUCCGGAUUUAUUGGGCGUAAAGGGCUCGUAGGUGGUUGAUCGCGUCGGAAGUGUAAUCUUGGGGCUUAACCCUGAGCGUGCUUUCGAUACGGGUUGACUUGAGGAAGGUAGGGGAGAAUGGAAUUCCUGGUGGAGCGGUGGAAUGCGCAGAUAUCAGGAGGAACACCAGUGGCGAAGGCGGUUCUCUGGGCCUUUCCUGACGCUGAGGAGCGAAAGCGUGGGGAGCGAACAGGCUUAGAUACCCUGGUAAUCCACGCUGUAAACGGUGGGUACUAGGUGUGGGGUCCAUUCCACGGGUUCCGUGCCGUAGCUAACGCUUUAAGUACCCCGCCUGGGGAGUACGGCCGCAAGGCUAAAACUCAAAGGAAUUGACGGGGCCCCGCACAAGCGGCGGAGCAUGCGGAUUAAUUCGAUGCAACGCGUAGAACCUUACCUGGGUUUGACAUGGAUCGGGAGUGCUCAGAGAUGGGUGUGCCUCUUUUGGGGUCGGUUCACAGGUGGUGCAUGGCUGUCGUCAGCUCGUGUCGUGAGAUGUUGGGUUAAGUCCCGCAACGAGCGCAACCCUUGUUCACUGUUGCCAGCACGUUAUGGUGGGGACUCAGUGGAGACCGCCGGGGUCAACUCGGAGGAAGGUGGGGAUGACGUCAAGUCAUCAUGCCCCUCAUGUCCAGGGCUUCACGCAUGCUACAAUGGCUGGUACAGAGAGUGGCGAGCCUGUGAGGGUGAGCGAAUCUCGGAAAGCCGGUCUCAGUUCGGAUUGGGGUCUGCAACUCGACCUCAUGAAGUCGGAGUCGCUAGUAAUCGCAGAUCAGCAACGCUGCGGUGAAUACGUUCCCGGGGCU